GCGACCGUGGCGGAAUUGGCAGACGCGCCAGACUUAGGAUCUGGUCUCCGAGAGGUGGGAGUUCAAGUCUCUUCGGUCGCACCA
rnacentral:tRNA from 1 species